rnacentral:lncRNA from 1 species
GAUUUAAUAAGUGAGUUUUCUAUUAUCAAAUGAAUAAUACUAUAAGGAAAAAAAUUAAAUAUAGCAGAUUAGUAUAUUUAUCAGUAUAUGUAACAAAUUUGGCACCAUUGGGAAAAAAGAUUGGAGUAACUGAUGUGGAAAAUAGCCAAGCUAUGUCUCAUUCUUCGAUGAUGGGCCAGAUUGUGACACAUUCUCCUCCUCGAAGAAGGCAUCAAGAGUUGAUUGGAGAGCUCAGAAUUUUUUUUUUUUAAUAUAUGUCUGACAAAUAGCACUACAAGUGUAACGAAUCAGUGGUGUUCGGGGUAAUGUUAAAAAGGGACAUAUCUGUAUAUAAAUAGUAUAAAAAAUUCAAAUUUCUGAAAUUAGCAGUUUCUUGUUUCGUUAAUACUUUCCUCAUCUGCACAAAUCGAAAUUUUUUCUGUUGAAAUAUCAGAACAUGAACUACAC